AUUGAACGCUGGCGGCAGGCCUAACACAUGCAAGUCGAGCGGAUGAAGGGUGCUUGCUUCUGGAUUCAGCGGCGGACGGGUGAGUAAUGCCUAGGAAUCUGCCUGGCAGUGGUGGAUAACGUCCUGAAACGGGCGCUAAUACCGCAUACGUCCUGAGGGAGAAAGUGGGGGAUCUUCGGACCUUACGCUAUCAGAUGAGCCUAGGUCGGGUUAGCUAGUUGGUGGGGUAACGGCCUACCAAGGCGACGAUCCGUAACUGGUCUGAGAGAGUGAUCAGUCAAACUGAAACUGAGACACGGUCCAGACUCCGACGGGAGGCAGCAGUGGGGAAUAUUGGCAAAUGGGGGAAAGCCUGAACCAGCCAUGCCGCGUGUGUGAAGAAGGUCUUCGGAUUGUAAAGCACUUUAAGUGGGGAGAAAGGGCAGUAAGUUAAUACCUGGCUGUUUUGACGUAACCAACAGAAUAGGCACCGGUUAACUUCGG
rnacentral:rRNA from 1 species